rnacentral:rRNA from 1 species
UUAAUAUUCCCGCGCCUGCUAUACAAUAAAAGUGACGCAUCGACGUGGCGGUUAGGUUCUGACGGAAUAGAGCCUUGAGCCAAUCCCUUCGGGGAGCGGCGAAACCGUAAAAUUGGUGCCAGGAAAAGCGAGUAUAGCAGCCCGUACCGUAAACCGACACAGGUAGUCGAGGAGAGUAUCCUCAGGCGCUCGAGUGAUUCGUGGCUAAGGAACUAGGCAAAAUGACCCCGUAACUUCGGGAGAAGGGGUGCCCCGAGCAAUCGGGGCCGCAGUGAAGAGGCCCAGGCGACUGUUUAGCAAAAACACAGGACUCUGCAAAAUCGUAAGAUGAAGUAUAGGGUCUGACACCUGCCCGGUGCCGGAAGGUUAAGGAAGGGGCUUAGUACGCAAGUGCGAAGGUCUUAACUGAAGCCCCGGUAAACGGCGGCCGUAACAAUAACGGUCCUAAGGUAGCGAAAUUCCUUGUCGGGUAAGUUCCGACCUGCACGAAUGGUGUAACGAUCUGGGCACUGUCUCAGCCACGAGCUCGGUGAAAUUGAAGUAUCGGUGAAGAUGCCGAUUACCCGCAACGGGACGGAAAGACCCCGUGAACCUUUACUACAGCUUUGCAUUGGGCUUGACUUGUUGAUGCGUAGGAUAGGUGGGAGGCUAUGAUCCGGGGAUUCUGGUUCUCGGGGAGUCGACGUUGAAAUACCACCCUUUGGCUAGUUGAGUCCUAAUCCCGCAGACGUGGGAGACAUUGCAUGGUGGGUAGUUUGACUGGGGUGGUCACCUCCUAAAAAGUAACGGAGGUUUGCAAAGGUACCCUCAGCAUGGUCGGUAAUCAUGCGUAGAGCGUAUUAGUAUAAGGGUGCUUGACUGAGAGACCGACGGGUCGAUCAGGGUCGAAAGACGGCUAAAGUGAUCCGGUGGUUCCGCAUGGAAGGGCCAUCGCUCAAAGGAUAAAAGGUACUCCGGGAUAACAGGCUGAUCUCCCCCAAGAGCUCAUAUCGACGGGGAGGUUUGGCACCUCGAUGUCGGCUCGUCGCAUCCUGGGGCUGGAGAAGGUCCCAAGGGUUGGGCUGUUCGCCCAUUAAAGCGGCACGUGAGCUGGGUUCAGAGCGUCGCAAGACAGUUCGGUCCCUAUCUGUUGUGGGCGCGAGAAGAUUGAAGAGACCUGACACUAGUACGAUAGGACCGUGUUGGACGAACCGCUUGUGUAUCGGUUGUGCCGCCAGGUGCAGCGCCGAGUAGCAAUGUUCGGCCGGGAUAAGCGCUGAAAGCAUCUAAGCGCGAAGCCUACUCUGAGAUGAAUCUUCUGAUUAAGGGUCGUAGAAGACUACUACGUUGAUAGGCGAUAGGUGGAAGUGUGGUGACAUGCGCAGCCAAGUCGUACUAAUAACCCGUAAGCUUCCCC